GUAGCAAUGAUUUUUUUUUUUUGGUAGUGAAAGGGUAAUAAAAUUCCUUACAGAUUAUUAGAUCUCCUACUUGUGAUGGGAAUUACUACUUUAAUACCAGGAAAUGUUGGGGCAAUCACUUGCGUGUGAAAUAAAAUUUUGGGGAAGUCCUUGUCCAUUAGUGCUCUUUGAAGGAUAAGAAAGCAGCACAGAAAGGAAAUUUGGAGUGUGGUGCUUUAUUUUUUUUUCUUUUUGGGGUAGCAAAAAGAAAAGAUUGGGUAAAAAUGCCAUUAUGAUGAGUGAUGAAACUAAUCCAAUCAUUUACUUGCACUCAUCUUCUGAAAGCAAAUUUUCAUGAUAUAACCCUUAACUUUUGC
rnacentral:misc_RNA from 1 species